rnacentral:lncRNA from 1 species
AGUUUGGAUAAAAAGGUAUAUAUAAUAUUAAUUCUCAUGGCUAGAAUAGGAAUUCAGACACUUAAAAGUUACCACUUUUAAGUAGUAAGAGAUUGUAGCAAUCUAGUUGCUGUGAGAUAACUGAUAAAAUAUGCAAUGAAAAAUACCAAGAAAGGAAGGACAAUCUCUGAUUCAGUUGCCCAGAACAGAAUUUUUAUAAACUGUGCAGAUAUUUAAUGUAAAUGGUGAUACCUGCAGAGCAGACAUAGAAGAGUUGAGAUGUAUCAGUGGGACAGAUUAAAUAGAAAACUUGAAUUUUUGGUGCCUAACACUAAUGGUCCAUUUGUAGGAUACCCCAUAUAUGAAUGUCUUUUUUUAUAUUAAAAUGUGUUGUCUAUUUAAUAAGUUAAUUAAAAUGCAGAUCAAAGCACCACCGUUUAUUUGCUUUUUCCAUAUACAGUUAACAUUUCCUUAAAGUGUGUAAGUAACUUUGCAAAUGUAAAAAAGUACUAGAUAUUUUCACUUGUUUUUAAGACCUAAUUCCAUUCCAUGAAUUGUCACUUAUCCACUGUUUUAAAAAAAAAAAAGUACUGUCUUGGUAAAAGGUCACUGUUACUUGGACUCAGUGUAUGCUGCCUACUUGCAGUCUUGUUACGGCAGUGUCUUUUACAAGUAGAGCUAGAGAAUGGGAUGUCACUUUUCAAUUAUAAGAAAUAGGGAUUCUUAUCCAAAAGUGUGUAUUAUAUGCUCUGUAUAGUUAACCAGAGUUCAAACAAGUGGUAAUGUUUCUCUUAAUUUAACUCAUUAUGUGCCUUCUUUGGACAUUAAAAAACACAUAUAUUAAAUGUAUUUUAAAUAUAAGUUAUUUCUUUGUGAACGCUAAUCGUCAGCCCUUACCAAAAAAAUAAAUUGACAGAGGCGCCUCUUUGCACUACUUACUAUCAAUAAACUUUAAAUUGGUUGUUUUUUGAAACAUUUUUUUUUAAAGCUUGCAUUAAAGUAAAUCUGAAACAAAUGUUUAAACAAACUAGCUAAGACACUAAUUUUUAUGUAUAAUCACAAUGUUUCACACCUAUCUUUAUUG